UACGAAGGGGGCUAGCGUUGCUCGGAAUCACUGGGCGUAAAGCGCACGUAGGCGGCUUGCUAAGUCAGGGGUGAAAUCCUGGAGCUCAACUCCAGAACUGCCUUUGAUACUGGCAACCUUGAGUCCGGGAGAGGUGAGUGGAACUGCGAGUGUAGAGGUGAAAUUCGUAGAUAUUCGCAAGAACACCAGUGGCGAAGGCGGCUCACUGGCCCGAUACUGACGCUGAGGCACGAAAGCGUGGGGAGCAAACAGG
rnacentral:rRNA from 1 species